rnacentral:rRNA from 1 species
GUGCCAGCAGCUGCGGUAAUACGUAGGGUGCAAGCGUUAAUCGGAAUUACUGGGCGUAAAGCGUGCGCAGGCGGUUCGGAAAGAAAGAUGUGAAAUCCCAGGGCUUAACCUUGGAACUGCAUUUUUAACUACCGGGCUAGAGUGUGUCAGAGGGAGGUGGAAUUCCGCGUGUAGCAGUGAAAUGCGUAGAUAUGCGGAGGAACACCGAUGGCGAAGGCAGCCUCCUGGGAUAACACUGACGCUCAUGC